rnacentral:rRNA from 1 species
AUUGAACGCUGGCGGCAUGCUUUACACAUGCAAGUCGAACGGCAACACGGGGGCAACCCUGGUGGCGAGUGGCGAACGGGUGAGUAAUACAUAGGAACGUAUCCUGAAAUGGGGGAUAGCUCGGCGAAAGCCGGAUUAAUACCGCAUACGAUCUACGGAUGAAAGCAGGGGAUUCGCAAGAACCUUGCGUUUCUGGAGCGGCCUAUGUCUGAUUAGCUAGUUGGCGGGGAAAAGCCCACCAAGGCGACGAUCAGUAGCUGGUCUGAGAGGAUGAUCAGCCACACUGGGACUGAGACACGGCCCAGACUCCUACGGGAGGCAGCAGUGGGGAAUUUUGGACAAUGGGGGCAACCCUGAUCCAGCCAUGCCGCGUGAGUGAAGAAGGCCUGGUU